CUACGGGAGGCACCAGUGAGGAAUAUUGCACAAUGGGGGGAACCCUGAUGCAGCAACGCCGCGUGGAGGAUGACGCAUUUCGGUGUGUAAACUCCUUUUAUAUGUCAAGAAAAUGACGGUAGCAUAUGAAUAAGCACCGGCUAACUCCGUGCCAGCAGCCGCGGUAAUACAGAGGGUGCAAGCGUUACCCGGAAUCACUGGGCGUAAAGGACGCGUAGGCGGGUUGGAAAGUCAGGUGUGAAAUCCUACAGCUUAACUGUAGAACUGCACUUGAAACUUCUAAUCUAGAGUAUGGGAGGGGGAGAUGGAAUUAGUGGUGUAGGGGUAAAAUCCGUAGAUAUCACUAGGAAUACCUAAAGCGAAGGCGAUCUCCUGGAACAUUACUGACGCUAAGGCGUGAAAGCGUGGGGAGCAAACAGGAUUAGAUACCCGAGUAGUC
rnacentral:rRNA from 1 species